AUUGAACGCUGGCGGCAGGCUUAACACAUGCAAGUCGAGCGGAGAUGAGGUGCUUGCACCUUAUCUUAGCGGCGGACGGGUGAGUAAUGCUUAGGAAUCUGCCUAUUAGUGGGGGACAACAUUCCGGCAGGAAUGCUAAUACCGCAUACGCCCUACGGGGGAAAGCAGGGGAUCUUCGGACCUUGCGCUAAUAGAUGAGCCUAAGUCGGAUUAGCUAGUUGGUGGGGUAAAGGCCUACCAAGGCGACGAUCUGUAGCGGGUCUGAGAGGAUGAUCCGCCACACUGGGACUGAGACACGGCCCAGACUCCUACGGGAGGCAGCAGUGGGGAAUAUUGGACAAUGGGCGGAAGCCUGAUCCAGCCAUGCCGCGUGUGUGAAGAAGGCCUUUUGGUUGUAAAGCACUUUAAGCGAGGAGGAGGCUACCUGGAUUAAUACUCUAGGAUAGUGGACGUUACUCGCAGAAUAAGCACCGGCUAACUCUGUGCCAGCCGCCGCAGUAACAC
rnacentral:rRNA from 1 species